UACGUAGGGCGCGAGCGUUGUCCGGAAUUAUUGGGCGUAAAGAGCUCGUAGGCGGCUUGUCACGUCGGGUGUGAAAGCCCGGGGCUUAACCCCGGGUCUGCAUUCGAUACGGGCUAGCUAGAGUGUGGUAGGGGAGAUCGGAAUUCCUGGUGUAGCGGUGAAAUGCGCAGAUAUCAGGAGGAACACCGGUGGCGAAGGCGGAUCUCUGGGCCAUUACUGACGCUGAGACGCGAAAGCGUGGGGAGCGAACGGG
rnacentral:rRNA from 1 species